AGUGAACGCUGGCGGCAGGCCUAACACAUGCAAGUCGAACGGCAGCGGGUCAGUAGCAAUACUGAUGCCGGCGAGUGGCGGACGGGUGAGGAAUACAUCGGAAUCUACCUUGUCGUGGGGGAUAACGUAGGGAAACUUACGCUAAUACCGCAUACGACCUACGGGUGAAAGCGGCGGACCGCAAGGCGUCGCGCGGUUGG
rnacentral:rRNA from 1 species